ensembl:snRNA U2 U2 spliceosomal RNA
AUCGCUUCUCGGCCUUUUGGCUCAGAUCAAGUGUAGUAUCUGUUCUUAUCAGUUUAAUAUCUGAUACGUCCCCCAUAGGGGGACUACAUAUUAAAUGGAUUUUUCGAACAGGGAGUCGGAAAUGGGGCUUGCUCCGUCCGCUCCACGCAUCGACCCGGUAUUGCAGUACCUCCGGGAACGGUUGCAACACUU